rnacentral:rRNA from 1 species
CAGUCGUGCGAGAAAGGGCUUCGGCCCCGGUUAAAGCGGCGCACGGGUGAGUAACACGUAGGCAAUCUGCCUCCGAGUGGUGGAUAACCUUCCGAAAGGAGGGCUAAUACAGCAUAAGACCACGGGUUCGUAGAACCUGAGGUCAAAGCGGACCUCUUCAUGAAAGUUCGCGCUUGGAGAUGAGCCUGCGGCCCAUCAGCUAGUUGGUAAGGUAAUGGCUUACCAAGGCUAAGACGGGUAGCUGGUCUGAGAGGACGAACAGCCACACUGGAACUGAGACACGGUCCAGACUCCUACGGGAGGCAGCAGUGGGGAAUCUUGCGCAAUGGGCGAAAGCCUGACGCAGCGACGCCGCGUGAGCGAUGAAGGCCUUCGGGUUGUAAAGCUCUGUGGGGAGAGACGAAUAAGGUGCAGCUAAUACCUGCAUCGAUGACGGUAUCUCCUUAGCAAGCACCGGCUAACUCUGUGCCAGCAGCCGCGGUAAGACAGAGGGUGCGAACGUUGUUCGGAAUUACUGGGCGUAAAGCGCGUGUAGGCGGCAGCGUGUGUCGGGCGUGAAAUCCCCAUGGCUUAACCAUGGAAGUGCACCCGAAACUGCGCAGCUAGAGUCCUGGAAAGGAAGAUGGAAUACUUGGUGUAGAGGUGAAAUUCGUAGACAUCAAGUG